CUGUGUAGGAGCCCAUGGCUUAGAGGGUGUCUGGGAGAUGUGAGGCCAGAUGCCAAGUGAGUCAGAAUCCUCUGAGGCAGGGGCUCCAGAAGCUCUUACUAGGGCUUUAGCACCAGCAUGCACGUGGAUGAAUGUGGAUUAACUCUGCUCUGACCCUGUCCUGCCUGGGGAAAGAUGAAAUUUCAGCCUGAAGAUCACUCAGCUGCCUAGCAACACACAAUAUGGUCUCACCAAAGGCAGAACUAGGAGGUACUUCUACAUCCAAUACUGUGAUCCCAGGGCAGCAGCAGCAGUUGGCAAAGAAGUACUGUAAAACAAAAUCUCCAAUGGGCUUCAAACAAUGGACCUACAUGUCUCCUCUUAAGGCCAUUUUAUUUCCAUCCUGGAAAAAUGUCCUUAGAAGCCAAGCAAAAUAUGGAGAGGAGAGAAGGGAAGAGUAACUUCACCAGAGGUCCAGUACUUCCAGGAUUCAGAAGAGUCCAGUGAUCUGAGAAGCCUUCUUUCCCUCACCUGCAACUUUCCUUAAACCAGCAGAUACAAAUAU